UACCAGCACCCCGAGUGGUCGGGACGAUUAUUGGGCCUAAAGCAUCCGUAGCCGGUUCUACAAGUCUUCCGUUAAAUCCACCUGCAUAACAGAUGGGCUGCGGAGGAUACUAUGGAGCUAGGAGGCGGGAGAGGCAAGCGGUACUUAGUGGGUAGGGGUAAAAUCCGUCGAUCCAUUGAAGACCACCAGUGGCGAAGGCGGCUUGCCAGAACGCACUCGACGGUGAGGGAUGAAAGCUGGGGGGAGCAAACCGG
rnacentral:rRNA from 1 species